GUGUUUACAUUUGCACUAC
rnacentral:siRNA from 1 species